rnacentral:rRNA from 1 species
GUAGCAUAUGCUUGUCUCAAAGAUUAAGCCAUGCAUGUCUAAGUACGCACGGCCGGUACAGUGAAACUGCGAAUGGCUCAUUAAAUCAGUUAUGGUUCCUUUGGUCGCUCGCUCCUCUCCUACUUGGAUAACUGUGGUAAUUCUAGAGCUAAUACAUGCCGACGGGCGCCGACCCCCCUCGCGGGGGGGACGCGUGCAUUUAUCAGAUCAAAACCAACCCGGUGAGCUCCCCCGCGGCCCCGGCCGCGGGUGCGGGCGCCGGCGGCUUUGGUGACUCUAGAUAACCUCGGGCCGAUCGCACGCCCCCCGUGGCGGCGACGACCCAUUCGAACGUCUG